rnacentral:lncRNA from 1 species
AAUUUACCAAUUUGAGUUUGAAUUACAAUUAUUCUCAAAGUUUGUGUGAAAAUUGCAAUCUAAAAUUGCAUUGCUGCAAACAUCAUGAUGAACCAACCAGGUCAAGCAACUUCAAGUCCAAAAAGCUACUCCUUUAGCAAAAUCCGCAUAAGGCUUUUGUAAGAAUCUCUUUCAUUACCAUCAAUGCUGACAGAUGCUAGGCAACUCAAAAGGAGCAGUCCUAUAACUCCAAUAAGCUGAU